CCCCAUGACUGGGCGUCUUAUAAAAGGAAGGGUUUUGGGUGGCUUACGGUUCCAGAUGGCUUAGGGUCAUACUGCUGAGGUCUGCCUGGGAGCAGAUAGCACACCUGGCAGCUAGGGCAGCCGCUGAGAACGCACAUCUUGAACCACGAAGGGGAAGCAGAGGUAAUGACGGGGAACCAGGGCGUGACUUUUAAAACCCCAAAGCCUGUCCUCGGUAACUUACUUCCUCCAGCAAGACCACACCUCCUAAACCUACCCAAAUGGGGCCAGCAUCUGGUCACCAAGUAUUCAAACCGCCUCAGUGAGGAAGCAUGGUGGGCUGGGAACACAGUAAUUAGAAGACAAUGCGUGUGUGGUAUUCAUGAAGCCGAGGAUGGAUUGCUGGUGAAAGUCUGAAGAUCUUUAAAAAUUUUCCCGAGGAAUGGGUGCUGAGGUCUUUAGGCACUACCAUGGCCAGGAUUACAGACAUGCACUACCAUGACCAACUUCCAAUGGGCUCAGUUCCUCCAAAAGUUUCAUUGCUGUGAAGAGACACCAUGACUACAGCAACUCUGAUAAAGACAAACAUUUAAUUGGAGUUGGCUUAUAGUUCAGAGGUUAAUCCAUUGUGUCAUGGUUAGAAACCUGGCAGCGUGCAGGCAGAGAAGGAGCUGUGAGUUCAACUUCUGGAUCUGCAGGCAGCAGGAAGAGAACUGAGACAUACUUCCUCCAACAAAGCCACACCUACUUCAGCAAGGCCAUGCCUUCUAAUUGCACCACGUCCUGUGAGUCUAUGGAAGCCAUUUUCUUUCAAGCCAGAACAAUUGCUGAGGUGGGAUGUUCCUCAGUUGAUAGAAUGUUUGCCUAGCAUGUACAGAGACCUGGAACUGAUCCCAGGAACUGCACAAGCUAGGUGUGGUGGUACGUGCCUGCAAUUCUAGCAUAUGAGUGAUUGAGGCAGGCAAACCAAAAGUGCAAGGUUAUCCUUAACUACAUAGUGAGUUUGAUGCUGUUCCAGGAUAUGUAAGUCCAUUGUGAGUUUGAUGCAAUAUGUAAGUCCACGUCUCAAAAAAAAUUAAAUUACUACAUUUUUAUGUUUGGAUGCAGUCACUCGACUUGCUAUAAUCUGAGCUUCAUCUGUCAAAACCCUCCCUGGUGAUGGCUCAUUGUAUGGCCUCAAAAAACAAGCAAGGCCUUGAGACUUGAGUUUUCUUCUUUGCACUCUUUGAAGCCCUCAGCCCUCACACUAAGGCCCCUCCUUUGUGGACCCAAGCAUCACAUUUGGAAAACAUGUCCAGGGAUCACUUCUCUCCAUUUCUUGUUUUCUUUUUCCUUUUAUUUAAGGCACUGUUGUUUCUGAAAGCCCCAAGAACAUGACUUUUAAGUUCUCAUUGGUCUGCACCCUGCUACAAAAACAUGUAGAAUGGUGGGUGGCCAAGAAGAUGAUUUCACUACAGUUUGCCUUACUGUUGCUAGGAGUGGAUCAUCCUCAGAACCCUGCCCCAGGAAGAGUAGGUGCCAUGCAAACUGGUUCUGCUGGAAGAGAGGACAGAGGGACUGGUUCCUGUUAGAUUCUUAUAGAGGUUUAGAGACCUACUUCUAGAAAUAUCUGAAGUUAGGAGGAGUUGAAGUCACCCUGUUAUCUCCU